GUAACAGUAACUUUUAUUCUCAUUUUCCUUUUCUCUACCUUGUAGAGAAGCAAAGUGAUGAGUAAUACUGGCUGGAGCCC
ensembl:miRNA MIR3609 microRNA 3609